AGAGUUUGAUCCUGGCUCAGGAUGAACGCUGGCGGCGUGCUUAACACAUGCAAGUCGAACGGGAAACCUUUUAUUGAAGCUUCGGCAGAUUUAGCUGGUUUCUAGUGGCGGACGGGUGAGUAACGCGUGGGUAACCUGCCUUAUACAGGGGGAUAACAACCAGAAAUGGUUGCUAAUACCGCAUAAGCGCACAGGACCGCAUGGUCCGGUGUGAAAAACUCCGGUGGUAUAAGAUGGACCCGCGUUGGAUUAGCUAGUUGGCAGGGUAACGGCCUACCAAGGCGACGAUCCAUAGCCGGCCUGAGAGGGUGAACGGCCACAUUGGGACUGAGACACGGCCCAGACUCCUACGGGAGGCAGCAGUGGGGAAUAUUGCACAAUGGGGGAAACCCUGAUGCAGCGACGCCGCGUGAAGGAAGAAGUAUCUCGGUAUGUAAACUUCUAUCAGCAGGGAAGAUAGUGACGGUACCUGACUAAGAAGCCCCGGCUAACUACGUGCCAGCAGCCGCGGUAAUACGUAGGGGGCAAGCGUUAUCCGGAUUUACUGGGUGUAAAGGGAGCGUAGACGGACUGGCAAGUCUGAUGUGAAAGGCGGGGGCUCAACCCCUGGACUGCAUUGGAAACUGUUAGUCUUGAGUGCCGGAGAGGUAAGCGGAAUUCCUAGUGUAGCGGUGAAAUGCGUAGAUAUUAGGAGGAACACCAGUGGCGAAGGCGGCUCACUGGACGGUAACUGACGUUGAGGCUCGAAAGCGUGGGGAGCAAACAGGAUUAGAUACCCUGGUAGUCCACGCCGUAAACGAUGAUUACUAGGUGUUGGAGGAUUGACCCCUUCAGUGCCGCAGUUAACACAAUAAGUAAUCCACCUGGGGAGUACGACCGCAAGGUUGAAACUCAAAGGAAUUGACGGGGGCCCGCACAAGCAGUGGAGUAUGUGGUUUAAUUCGACGCAACGCGAAGAACCUUACCAAGUCUUGACAUCCUGCGACGGACAUAGAAAUAUGUUUUUCCUUCGGGACGCAGAGACAGGUGGUGCAUGGUUGUCGUCAGCUCGUGUCGUGAGAUGUUGGGUUAAGUCCCGCAACGAGCGCAACCCUUAUGGUCAGUUACUACGCAAGAGGACUCUGGCCAGACUGCCGUUGACAAAACGGAGGAAGGUGGGGAUGACGUCAAAUCAUCAUGCCCUUUAUGACUUGGGCUACACACGUACUACAAUGGCGUUAAACAAAGAGAAGCAAGACCGCGAGGUGGAGCAAAACUCAGAAACAACGUCCCAGUUCGGACUGCAGGCUGCAACUCGCCUGCACGAAGUCGGAAUUGCUAGUAAUCGCAGAUCAGCAUGCUGCGGUGAAUACGUUCCCGGGCCUUGCACACACCGCCCGUCA
rnacentral:rRNA from 1 species